rnacentral:rRNA from 1 species
GUGGGGAAUAUUGGACAAUGGGGGGAACCCUGAUCCAGCCAUGCCGCGUGUGUGAAGAAGGCCUUUUGGUUGUAAAGCACUUUAAGCGAGGAGGAGGCUACUCUAGUUAAUACCUAGAGAUAGUGGACGUUACUCGCAGAAUAAGCACCGGCUAACUCUGUGCCAGCAGCCGCGGUAAUACAGAGGGUGCAAGCGUUAAUCGGAUUUACUGGGCGUAAAGCGCGCGUAGGUGGCCAAUUAAGUCAAAUGUGAAAUCCCCGAGCUUAACUUGGGAAUUGCAUUCGAUACUGGUUGGCUAGAGUAUGGGAGAGGAUGGUAGAAUUCCAGGUGUAGCGGUGAAAUGCGUAGAGAUCUGGAGGAAUACCGAUGGCGAAGGCAGCCAUCUGGCCUAAUACUGACACUGAGGUGCGAAAGCAUGGGGAGCAAACAGGAUUAGAAACCCCUGUAGUCC